UGCCAACAGAGGAAGAUUUAUGCUGAAUCAAAUAUAAUUUCGGUCAUCAUAUUCGGUAUCGCUCGGCUUUUUUCGGGAGAUGGCAGAUAAUCUGGAUGCAUUGUCCCUGAGACAGUGUCACUUUACUCGAGAUCCCACCGAUAACAUUCAUUUACUGAGAACCGCCCAGAGGGGCAGGCAGACGACACCGGGUACAUUCUAGGGAUAUCAUCACUCUCGGUAUCACCAUAAUCAACAUUUAUCCUUUACGUUGCGAAACCGGUACCAGGGAAAAAUAGUCGUACCGUCAGUUUGUGUGUUGCUCACUAUUUGAGAAUGAUUCAGUGGUUCGGAACCCACUUAAAAAUGUCGGUCCACUGGUGUUCUCAUACGAGGACACGAGGAUAAAUAAACACCACAGCCAAACUAUUGAUAGUAUCUAUCUGGAGAAACCUAAAACAGCAAAAAGAGCAAGCCGACGAAUGAGACAAAACAAAUGCUGGUAUGCAAUUGUGAGCACACGGAGAGAGGAGUCGCAGGGGAAUUACUGUGCCGGGCACUAGAAUCGAGAUGCAAAAUUCUGGAAUAGUGAAAUGUGUUUUAAUAACGCAAAAAAAUUCCUGUCAAUACCAUAAAUUUUUUAAUACAUUUUGUCAUUAAUAAUAUAUGGCUUCGUAACUUUACGAAACAACACCAGAAAAAGUUGAACGUCUAUCA